UACAGAGGGGGCAAGCGUUGUUCGGAAUUACUGGGCGUAAAGGGCGCGUAGGCGGCAUAUUAAGUCAUCUGUGAAAUCUCCGAGCUUAACUCGGAACUGUCAGCUGAUACUGAUGUGCUAGAGUGCGGAAGGGGCAAUCGGAAUUCUUGGUGUAGCGGUGAAAUGCGUAGAUAUCAAGAGGAACACCUGAGGUGAAGACGGGUUGCUGGGCCGACACUGACGCUGAGUGCGCGAAAGCCAGGGGAGCAAACGGG
rnacentral:rRNA from 1 species